ACCAACGCCGCUGCCAUUCCAAUAUGGCGGUCAAACAAUCAACAUUUUGAUAAAGGUUGUUUUUCAACAAAAUCAGAAUUGUUAUACACAAUUUUUAUCUACAUAUUGCAAGUACAGAUUUCUAUCUACUGGAUUUGUUCAAAAAAUUAGUCAAAAAUUCGAUUGAUUAAUUUUCCAAUAAGACAAUAUUCGUUGGUAUCGAUUCAGUCCGAUUUACUCAAAGAAUUUUUCAAUUUUACAAAGCAUUUCUGAAGCUGAGGAGGUAUGCGAGUUGUAUUAUAGCCUCUUAUAUAUCUUUCGUUAGAAGCAAAUAUGAACAGCUCUCUGGACAUAGAUUUAUGGCUGGCAAAUCUAAAAGAAACCAAGCCACCAUAUAAAUGUCCAUUUGAAGAUUGCGAAAAAUUAUAUAAGAGUUAUGGAGGAAUAACAUCUCAUAUGCAUAGCACUCAUUAUGACUAUAAAAAUGUUGGUUCACCAUCACCUUCGCGAAAAAGCAAGAACAGCAAGAAGCUUACUACUUCUCCAGAUACAAUAACCCAGCCAAGAGAUACACUGACCUAUGCUGAUGCUCAAAAAAUUGUUGAAAUUGAACUGGAUGGAAAAAUCCAUCGAUUAAAUAUAUACGAAAUGUUAAAUGUUGUUUCGCAAGAGAAUAUAGAUAACAUGGACAACGCCAAAAGGGAACAAGCAAAGGAAAUGUUGCGUUCUCAGUCAGGGGGUGACGCUGAGAAGAGAGAAAAAGAAAAAGAGAAAAUAAGACUCCCUGAACCUUCUUUCAGAAUUAUAGAAAACUAUCAGCCUUGCGUAGCACCCUCAAGGACUCAAGCUUACUUUAGAUAUAUGGAAAAAUCGCCAGAAGAUCUUGAUGAGAUGGUUGAAUACGAUAUGGAUGAGGAGGAUUUUGCUUGGCUACAAUUAAUUAAUGAAACUCGAGCUAAUGAAAGCGUCUCUUUAAUUGAUCGUGAAACAUUUGAAUUGCUGAUUGACAGAUUUGAAAAGGAAGCUGCCUUUCAAAAUUCAAAUUGUGAUCAAAAGGACAUUGAUGACGAUGCUUUGUGCUGCAUUUGUCUGGAUGGCGAAUGUCAGAAUAUGAAUAUGAUCCUAUUUUGCGAUAUGUGCAACCUUGCUGUUCAUCAGGAAUGUUAUGGUGUACCAUACAUUCCGGAAGGACAAUGGUUGUGUAGGCGUUGCUUACAAAGUCCAUCAAGAGCAGUUGAAUGUUGCCUUUGUCCGAAUAAAGGAGGAGCAUUCAAGCAAACUGAUGAUGGACGAUGGGCUCAUGUCGUUUGUGCUCUAUGGAUUCCCGAAAUCGGAUUUGCGAACACUGUAUUUCUAGAACCAAUAGAUAGCAUAGAUAGAAUUCCACCAGCCAGAUGGAAAUUAACUUGCUAUAUAUGCAAGCAACGUAACAUUGGUGCUUGUAUUCAAUGCCAUAAAACCAACUGCUAUACCGCCUUCCAUGUUACCUGCGCUCAGCACGCUGGUUUGUAUAUGAAGAUAGAACCUGUAAGAGAGUCCGCUGAUUCGAACACAACGGUUGGCGUACGCAAAACAGCGUAUUGCGAUGUUCAUUCACCAGCCGAUUGUCAAAACAUGCCAAUGAUUGACAAUGGAGCAUCUUCUGAAGAAGAUCGGCAAGCAACUCCUUCAACACCUGCUCAAUUAAAGGCAAAGAGUCGAAAUAGAAUGCGAAAGGCUAGAAAAGUUUUAGCUGAGAGAAGAGCUGCUGCACCUGUUAUUUCAAUACCGGUUUUAACUCAAAAAAGAGUUUCUGUUAUCUCAUCAAAAAUUAAUGUUCAUGGCAAAAAAGAAUUCAUGCAAAAACUGCUUGGGUAUUGGACCUUGAAGCGACAGAGCAGAAAUGGUGUGCCUCUCCUAAGAAGAUUACAGAGCAAUCACAUGAACAGAAUAAGAGAUCAGAAAGAAGACGACGAUACAGAGGAAGCAGAGAUGAAACAACAACUAAAGUACUGGCAGAGACUUAGACACGAUCUGGAAAAGGCGCGCCUGCUUGUUGAGUUGAUAAGAAAACGAGAAAAAAUUAAGAGAGAUCUAAUAAAAAUUAAGCAGAAAGAAGUUCGAUUGCGGAUGCAACCUCUGAAUACUAUGUUACUUGGAAUUUUAGACAGAUUAAAAAGUUUAGAUACAAACUCUUUCUUUGCUGAACCAGUUUCCGAAAAAGAGGCCCCUCAAUAUAGAGAGCUCAUAGAAAAACCCAUGGAUUUCUCUACUAUGCACGAAAAGAUUGAAACUAAUUGUUAUCUCAGUAUUGAUGACUUUGAAGAAGAUUUCUCAUUAAUAAUCAAAAACUGUACAACGUAUAAUGAUAAAUAUACUAUUUACUAUCGUGCAGCGUUAAAAUUAAGGGACUCUGGGGGAACAGUUAUAAGAGCAGCAAAGAGACAAGUCGCUAAAAUCGGCUACGACAAAUCUACUGGUUUACACUUGAACAGUCCUCCAUCAAGUCCUGUACAGGAAGAAAUAGACGUCCUGGACGCAGAAGCUCGAUCAAAGUUACCAAUGAGUCGACAAUUGGAUAUGCUUUUAGAUAAAUUAGACGAGUGGACAGCAAAACCCCAGAAAAAGGGAAAACAGAUCAAACUAGUUAAAAAAGAAAUAAAUAAAUUACGGCGGGCUAUGGCAGCUCAGAAAAGAAGGCGUUCAACUGAUGGAGUAUCGGAUUCCAGUGAAGAUGAUGACGCUUACAGUCCCGGUGUUUCUGGUGAUGAGGAUAAGGAGGAAGAUAAAACAUUAGUGGCCGAAGAUACUGAUUCGGAAAAGGAGAGAUCAACUAGGAGUCGGCGGAAACCCAAAUCGGAGGAAAAGGAAGACAAAGAAAAUCAAGAUAAGUCUUGCGACGAUACCGGUUUUGAGGUUCCUCUGCCCACUCCUGAAAAGACAAAAAAGAAAAGGGGUCGCAGCGGCAAGAGAACUACCAGAAAGAAAAGCACGACUCCGCCGAAUAGUCAGUCAAUAUCUCCUUGUAGAACUCCGGCCACUCCUCGAACUCCUCGUUCACCUCAAUCAAAUUUCUGCAAGAGCCCAUCCAGGGCUCCUUCGUCUCCCACGCCGAAUUCCCCUUCAAUCAGCUCGCCGCAGCCGUGGAUGUUGAACAAGGAUAGUUUCCGUCAAUACAGAGGCCAACGCGAUAUUCUCAGCGCGACCGAUAAUGAAACCGAGGUGUCGGACGACGGUCGGAUAGGCGGAACGGAAUCGGACAUAGCAUCACCUCCCCCCGUUUCACAGGAGGUCGGCCACAGAUACUCAAGACGACCACGUCAACCGCGAAUGCGCUUCGUAGCGGGUGUUACUCCAGGUUCAGCAGAUCCCGAAGAAGAUGUCGACUCGCUGAUCGAGCUGCACCCUUUAGAUCUGGUAUGGGCGAAAUGCCGCGGUUAUCCGUGGUAUCCCGCCCUCAUAAUAAAUCCAAAAAUGCCAAGAAAUGGUUACCUACACAAUGGUGUACCUAUUCCCCCUCCUCCAGCUAGAGUUUUAGCAUUACAAAAUAAGUAUGAACAAAGAGUCUUUCUAGUUUUAUUUUUUGAUAAAAAAAGAACAUGGCAAUGGUUGCCAAGAUCUAAGUUAGAACCUCUAGGUGUUGAUUCUGGUUUAGAUAAAGUUAAAUUAAAUGAAAACAAAAAAAGUAAAGAUAUGAGGGCAAUGAGAAAAGCGUAUCAAAAAGCUAUUCAGCAUAGAUGUUUAGUAACUGGUGAACAAUUACCUUCUGUUACUAGAACAAGUGAGAAUAGCGAUGAUGAGGAGGAUGAUGAUAGCGAAGAAAGUGAUGCCCACAGCGAAAAGGAUGAUAGAGAUUUAUUAAGUAAGACUGAAGACGUACCGGAGGAUGUUGAAAUGAAAGCUGUAGAUGAGGAGGGAAUAGUAACCUGAAUAUAGUAAAAUAAAAUUGUUAUUGUUGUAUUGUAUAGACUGUUAAAUGAUUCGUAUUUAAAAAAGAAAAAUACUAAUGGUAUUAGGUAUGAAAACCAACUUGAAGUGUAUGUACAGUCUGUAUAUAAAAGAAUUGUCUACUCGUUACAUUUAAUAUUUAAAUAAUAAAUAAAAACUUGGUUCACUUCUCUUAAA
rnacentral:misc_RNA from 1 species